CCUACGGGAGGCAGCAGUUGGGAAUCUUCCGCAAUGGGCGAAAGCCUGACGGAGCGACACUGCGUGAGGGAAGAAGGCCUUCGGGUUGUAAACCUCUGUCGAGAGGGGAAGACUUCAGACGGUACCCUCAGAGGAAGCCCCGGCUAACUACGUGCCAGCAGCCGCGGUAAU
rnacentral:rRNA from 1 species